rnacentral:lncRNA from 1 species
CCCCGGAGUCGGUCCGGCGGAGUUUUUCGGGUAUUUUAAUUGUUGAUAAUUAUCUAGUUUGUCUCGAUAUACGUGAAAGCUAGAUAUUUUGAUUAUUAUAUUACUUUUUAUCGAAAUACGUGCAAAUGGGACCCGCAGACUAAUCAUUGCUUUUAAAUGCCCCGUUUUGAUGAUUAUCUCGAAAACCGGUACCGAUUGGACCCCGCUUUAUUAAUAUAAAGCUAUUAAAUACGUAUUUCAUGUCAUAUACGAUCCAAAGGGGUACCAAUUAUUUGUAAAUAUAAAUAGACUUUCCUGUAACUUAUUUUCACCAUAAAAAUCAUUUCACCAGUUUCUUUUCACGAAUACCGAGAGAAACUGAACUGUGUUCUUCGUGUUCUUCGUAAUCAAACGAGGAUUUGAAGGUGUUAUUGGAAUCCGAUGGAGGCGUAUGAAUAGCCAAAACGAAGCUCUCGACGCGUAGAUUAUAGAUUAAUCAUCAAAACAAGCGCAGGUAUAAUAGAUUAUUUAUUUGGAAUUUUACAAAAUUCGAAUUAUAGUAUUUCAAGGGAUGAUUUUUCGUAGAUGAUCUUGUGUGAUUGUUUUGAUGAUUCCAUGUUGUAGUACGUCUUUUUCUCGUCGUUUUGGUAUAUUAUAUGUUGAAUUUUGACUUCGAUAACAUAGAGAAAAGUUGGUUUGAUUCUUGAAGUUGUGUUCUUGAAUGUUCUUGGAGGUUAUGAAUGUUCUUAAUUCAAAAAGAGGCGUUUUUAAUCUAGGAAUUCUGCGUUGUUUUGGUUUAUACCAUUAGGAAGAGUGUUUCAAGAGGAAUAUGUUCAUAUAAUCAGAUUUUGUGUGGGAUUCACGGUUGAACUCGCCGGAGUUUAUGAACACCGGCGGUGUUCUUGGACUUUCCGGCCAAAAUCCGGCCAAACUACGUGUUAAUUACUAAGUUUGAUUAUGGGAAUGAGUUGUUGGGCGUGUGUACUACUGAUCUGGAGUGUAUGGCGAGUGGAGGAUGCCUGGAAAUGAAUUUCCGGCGAGUUAGUGUGGUGGCCGGCGGCUUAUUGCUGUUUGGUCACCGAAGUUUUGAAGAUGAUGAAGUUUUUGUACUCAGGUUUUGAAACUUAUGAAUUACCUCCUGUAACUUUGAAAAGUUGCACUUUAAACCCUGGACGAAAACUUUCAAAAGUUUACAAAAUAAACCUUUCUGAUUUAAUUUCAAAAAUUGUUUUUAUUUAAUUAUUUUAAUUCCGAAAAUAGUUUUUAAUUAUUUCUUUAUUCAAAAAUAAAUCUAAAUUAGUUUAUUAAUUACUUUUAAUUAGUAAUUAAUUAUUUUAAUUGGUCAAUUAAUUUAAAUAUUAAUUGAUUAAUUAUUUUAAUUAAUUAUUAAUUGAUUUUAAUUGAUUAAUUAAUUGGAUUUAAUUAAUCCUUUUUGAUUUAAAAAUUCCGAAAAAUAGUUUCGAGCUUUAAAAUAUUUUUCCAAAUUAUUUUCAAGGCUCGAUAAUUGUUUAUGAAUGAUUUCAAGUCCAAUUUCAAGUAUUUGGGACUUGAUUAUUUAUCCGAAAAGUGAUUCUUUUAUCGAUUUUAAUUCCGAAAAAUGUUUAAAAAUUCCAGAAAAUUCCCGAAAAAUCAUUUUUAACCCAAGACUUGAUUUAAUAUCAAUUGGGAUGGGAAACCUUAUGUGUUGUGUGUUGUCUGCUAUUGGUUGGAUGUGUUAUGUGCUGAUAGGAGAGUGAGAAAACUGUUUUGAUCAUAUCUUUUGAUCAGUAAGUCGGAAUCAAGUGAAACGAAAGAGAGACAGAAGCUUAUAACGUCUAUUUUAAUAUGAUGUGACUAUAUGGCUGAGUCUAUAAGGUGAAUAAUUGUUGAUAAGUAUGCAUAAUGUGAUAAUAUGUGAUCUAAGUGCUAUCAAGUGAUGAUUAUGUGAAGUACGUGUUAGUUUUGAUAUUGUGAAGUGAUAAAUGAUUCGUAUGAUUGAUAUUGGAUAAGAAUAUAUGGAUUAUAGUUAUUGGAUUUUGUUGGUUGAUUAAUGAUUGAGAUAGGAUAACAGGUGGAUAGUCUUAUACAUAGACGAGACGAUGUCGGAUUUUCGAUAAGGAUUUAUAUGAUAAUUGAUUGGUGAUAUGUUAUGUGGAAUAUGAUUGACUAUAUGUUAGAGUCAAAGCAUGCUUAUGUGUUACGUGGUAUCUGAUAAGUUUAAAGGGAUAUAUAAGUGGGUAUCGAUAUACGUGAUAUGUAUAUGCGAUAUAUUGUUUAGUGACUAUAGUAUUAUCUUAUUCUCGUAAAGGAUUUGGACGAGACGUGUACGCUCGAAGACGUCAGGAAGUCGAAAUGGUAUUGCAAAGCGAAUAAGGGAUGAAUCGAGUAAGCGAAGCGAUGUGGCGAAUAGAGUACGGCUAGAGAUGGUCUAGAAAUUAUAAUAUGAAUAGAUUGUGAAAGUGGAAAGAUGAGGUUGAGCUAUGAGACUAGAGUCAGAUUUAAGGCAAGUAUCCUGCACCCAGCUUUUGGAUAUAUUGCAAAUAUUCUGAUUCAUUCUUUUGAUGUGUUGCAAGUAUCCUAAGCCUUUCUCUUGGAUAUAUUGCAAAU